GUGUGUCCAGGCGCUUCCCACCACCGGGGCAGGUGGGGUCUGACGGCGAGUUGGGAGCCACCAGAGUCCAAGCGGCAAGACGUCCCCCUCAUCCUUCAGAUUAACUGGCCCCCUGAUGUGUACAGAUUCCUGCUGUACCUCUGAAAAGGAAUGAAGCUGAUAUGCUCCUUUAUUCUGAGAGACGUUUGGCUGCAGCAACAUAAAUAAUUCUCUUCAAGACUCAGAAGAAGGUACUGGCAACAUGAGCAACAUUUGUCCUUUGUUUUUACCUUUCAUUUGUACUUUUCCUUGGCACUGCACUGUGUCCAUGUGUAACUUAAUAAUAAAUGAUUUCAUAAUGAUGGGAUUGAAUUGCAAUGAUGACACCUCAUUCAUUUUUCAACAUCCUCGCCCAUCUGGUCAUUCCAGCAAGCAUCACAUUUUCUUCCAAACCUUGUAUUUCAACCUAUGGGCUCCUUGUUCCUUGUUUGAUUAGC